UGGGGAAUUUUGGACAAUGGGGGAAACCCUGAUCCAGCCAUCCCGCGUGUGCGAUGAAGGCCUUCGGGUUGUAAAGCACUUUUGGCAGGAAAGAAACGUCGCGGGUUAAUACCCCGCGAAACUGACGGUACCUGCAGAAUAAGCACCGGCUAACUACGUGCCAGCAGCCGCGGUAAUACGUAGGGUGCAAGCGUUAAUCGGAAUUACUGGGCGUAAAGCGUGCGCAGGCGGUUCGGAAAGAAAGAUGUGAAAUCCCAGAGCUUAACUUUGGAACUGCAUUUUUAACUACCGGGCUAGAGUGUGUCAGAGGGAGGUGGAAUUCCGCGUGUAGCAGUGAAAUGACGAGAUAUGCGGAGGAACACCGAUGGCGAAGGCAGCCUCCUGGGAUAACACUGACGCUCAUGCACGAAAGCGUGGGGAGCAAACAGGAUUAGAUACCCUGGUAGUCCACGCCCUAAACGAUGUCAACUAGCUGUUGGGGCCUUCGGGCCUUGGUAGCGCAGCUAACGCGUGAAGUUGACCGCCUGGGGAGUACGGUCGCAAGAUUAAAACUCAAAGGAA
rnacentral:rRNA from 1 species